GGUGGUGGAAGAGGAGGUGGCAUUUCAUCUCUUUGAGUUGGAUUCUCCUCAUCUCUCAAAUUAGGCACCCCUAAAAUUAUUAUGGCUAUCAAAUCGAACUAAAUUAUUUUGGCUAACCAAUUGUGAGGUUUAUCGGCUAACCAAGUACUUCAAGUUAUUAGUUACCUUUCAGGCACAACUGAGGAAAACCACCUAACUGAUGCUCACCGAGCAAAAGAAAGGGUCCAAAUAUUCCAUUGCCAACUAUGUGUCAUCACAUAAGUUAUCGAAACCUGGCAAAGCUUUCGUACAACAAAUAUCCACUGAUAAUACUCCGAGUUCCUUGAAGGAAGCAUUAUUUGAUGCUUGAUGGACCAAGGCAAUGGAAGAAGAAAUGGAUGCACUUCAUAAGAAUCAAACGUGGACUUCGGUUCCGUUGUACAAAGCUAAUGUGUCUAUUGAGAGGUACAAGCCACGAUUGGUCAAGUGAUGAAUUAUGUAAUCAAGUGAUGAAAUUAAUGACAGUGCAUGAGCACAAUGCAAUACUCUUCAUCUACACCCGCUAAUUCAUAUAACUAAAUAAUCAGACCUCGUAUGUCGCAUUUUGUACUUAUACCAAUUGGUCCCGAGUGAGUAAUUAUAUGAACUAACGCCUAUAACUCGUCAUCCCAAUUUCCCCUUUUGUUAGCCGUCUUGCCAAAACCCUUUUGUCGUCAAUCCCGAAUUACCCUAAAAGAAAUUGUUGGCUCGCCUGAGACUUGGUACCUACUAAGAGUUUGGCUCAACUACACAAAGGAUCCUUUCCAACUACCCUCAUUUCCAAUUCCUUUCUCAACGUCGUAACUCCAACCACAUGACACAUUAUGAAUGAUUUCACAAAUACUUUGAAUUCAGCAUUUACAUAUACCACAGUAUAUUCUCAACCAAGAGUAAUUCCAUAGACAAUAGCAAACAACGAUCCAACAAAACAAUGAUGUACACAUUUCCAAGUAACACUCAACAAGAAUUAUAGACGAAUGAGAUCAACAAUAAUAAUAGUAUUUCAUGAAAUUUAAUAAAAUCAAUCUAUGUAAAGGUCUGCCGUAUUUCCUCUACCUAGAUUCCAAACCAUUGCUCUGAGUUAGUAACAAAAGGCACCACCACCUUGGUCAGUACCUAUUUCACAAGUAUAAACAUAUCACUAAAUGCAUGACAUGAACUAAUCCGAAUAGAAUUACUUAAUAAGCUACAAAUUCCGCAUAACUCGGAUCAAAUAACACUUCUGUACCAUGUAAAAUAGAUUUGCCAUAAUAGAAGAAACGAUUGAAUAAAGUAAGCUUAAAUAGGAUUUAACUUAUAGAUAUAUAAAAGCUUUAUCAAUAUUACAAAUAAUGUAAUCCAAAUAAUAGCAUAAAACUAUAUAUAUUGUAGACAUAAAAAUAUAAUUGGCAAAGGUAUUAUGUAUAUCAGCUUUAACGUUCAAUCAAAAUAGAUUUUCUUUUUAAAACUAAUUAGUUAGUAUAUCAAGUGUAAUAUAUAUAUAAAUAACUAAAACCAAACUACCUUAGAAGUGAAAGUAGGCAUAUACAAGUAAAUAGAGUGCUAUGGUGAAAACUCGAGUAAAUUGUAGCAAUGGUCCCUCAACUUUAACUCAAUUGGAGCAAUAGUCCCUCAACUAAAAGUUCAUUAUCAUUGGUCCCUCAACUAAAAAUUUAUUACCAUUGGUCCCUCAACCUUAAUCCAACUGGAGAAAUGGUCCAUUAACUUUAACUCAAUUCGAGCAAUGGUCCCUCAACUUUAACCCAAUUGUAGCAAUGGUCUAUCCAACAUAAUUCGUUUUGACAAAAUUCUAACGAAGUUGACGAAAAGGACCAUAGCUACACGUUUUGAUGAGUUAAGGGACCACAAUUGUACUAACGGUCCUUCCAACAUAACUCAUUUUGACAAAAUUUUGAUUAAGUUAAUGAAAAUGACCAUAGCUACCCAUUUUGAUGAGUUGAAGGACUAAUGGUAAUGAAUUUUUAGUUUAUCGACCAUUGCUCCAAUUUGAUUAAAAUUAAGGGACUAUUGCUACAAUUUACUCUGAAAACUCCAUUGGUUUAGAUCAAGUAUGUAUAAAUAGAUGGAUCAUAAUCAAUAAGAAUUUUUAUAUUCUUUGAACAAAAACUGAAAUAGUAUUGCUUAAUACCAAUCUAAUCGAAUUGAACUUGUGAAAGGACAUAUUUUAUAAAAGGUGCUAAAUACAUAACAGCUAAGCCCUAAUAUCAGAACAGAAUUCAAUAUACAUCUAACACUAAUGUCUUGUGGUCUCUAGUUUAAUUCAACCGCAAGACUAAAGAUAAGCCUACAUCCUCCAUCCUCAACAGAUCAAAGGAAAAUAGUAAGUGACGAUCACCUUACCUCACUUGUU
rnacentral:lncRNA from 1 species